CCUACGGGAGGCAGCAGUGAGGAAUAUUGGUCAAUGGGCGCGAUCCUGAACCAGCCAAGCCGCGUGAAGGAAGACUGCCCUAUGGGUUGUAAACCUCUUUUGUCAGGGCACCAAGCCAGGGACGUGUCCCGGGCUGCGUGUACCCGAUGAAAAAGCAUCGGCUAACUCCGUGCCAGCAGCCGCGGUAAUACGGAGGAUGCGAGCGUUAUCCGGAUUUAUUGGGUUUAAAGGGUGCGUAGGCGGUCUGUUACGUCAGCGGUAAAAGUGCGGGGCUCAACCCCGUCGAGCCGUUGAUACUGGCAGUCUGGAGUUGGCGAGAGGUAGGCGGAAUGCGCGGUGUAGCGGUGAAAUGCAUAGAUAUCGCGCAGAACUCCGAUUGCGAAGGCAGCGUACUGGCGCCACACUGACGCUGAGGCACGAAAGCGUGGGGAUCGAACAGGAUUAGAUACCCCGGUAGUC
rnacentral:rRNA from 1 species